UGUGCUUUGAGUAGAAUACAAGCAUUUUUUUAUUAUUUUUACUAUGUUUCAUGUACAUUACCAUUUUAUCGUUACAUAGCUUUAACAAUAUUGUUUACAUUCAAUGUAUUGAUAGUUUAUCGCCUUUUUAGGUCGACCCCAAACCAGUGUCCGUGAUACAUUUCUCAAAGCCUAGAAAACAACAACAAGAAAACAGUACCGAACUGGCGCAGAAGAUGCCAGUUUCCACUUGUCCUCUUUUAAAGUGUUGCUGCCGAGAAGUAGACCGGGAGCUGAAUCUGCGGAGCCGGCACAACCCCCUGGAGCACAGAUGCAAUGUAAACAUCGGAGAACUAUUUUCCUUUUGGAAUUGUUUCUUUUUUGGGACUGCAACCCACUGUGUGUACCCCAGGUACCAUUGCUGGUAGAGUGGUCUGAAUACCUGAAUAAAUAACAUUUGUUGGAACUGUAGUCCCGGUGUGGAUAUUCUCUCCCAUACAACAUUCCCUCCAGACCAUUACCAACACAAAUAAUAGAAACAUUUAAACAAUUGUGUUUAAUUAAAAUGUUCAUUCUUUCUUUCUUUUUUUCUUAUAUAAUGUUAAAUCAAGAUUCAAUAGUGAUACUGUAUUGGAAUAUGAGAAAUCUACUUUUAAAUACCAAGUUAUUUGCUAUUAUAUGUUGUAGCGAUAACUUGUAUUUAAAAUACCUGAUUAAGGAUACCAUUAAUUCAUGUGUAAUGGUUUAAUUUAAUUAGAACACUCAAUUAUAUAAUUGAACAAUAAAUCACACAACAGUGCUAUAUCUUUUAAGAAUUUUAACAGAAUAU